CCUGACCACACCCCCACUCACUUUGGGCCUCAGUUUCCCCUUCCUCGCUGGAAAAUUUCUGAGGCUCUUCAUGAUGUGCCUGAGGGGUGGGCAAGGGCCCGCUGACGUGUGCUUCCAGUGGGGCGGGUCUGAAGUCAGACAGUGGGCGGAGCGGAAGUGCCAUCACAGCCCUCACCCAAUGCACUGGGCUCCGACCUUGCCACACCCCCUCUAGUCAGCUGGUCCUGGGCUGGGGCCCAGGCGUUUCCUCAUCUCUAGGUGGGCGCCAGUGACCUGCCCUCUCACUCCGGGUCCAGAGAGACAUGAGGCCCAGGGGAGCUUUGCACCCAUUGGGUUUUUGAAAGGUGUGGGAUUUGUAUACUCAGGCGGGGUGGAGGUCAGGGCCAUGGAGGACAAAGAGGGUCAAGGGUCCCAGGGACAAAGAGGAAGGCUACAUUGUCCAUGUGCUGCCCCGUCACUGGAAUGGACCGAGUAGGCAGAGGACGGGUCACCCUCACGUCUCCUGCGGCUGUGGAGUGCCUCUGGCCUCCACAUUCUCUCUCCCGGCCGUUCCCCAGACCCCUGGCACCAAAGCCAACCCUGUGCCCCGGAGCACGGUCCCCCCCAGCAGCCCUGCUCCCCGUCUCCUGCCAAGGCACCAGAUUCCAGGCCCUACCCAAAGCCCUCCUGGCUCCCAGAGUGCAGCAUCGACUGCAUCCUGCCCACCAGGCCAAACCCAGCCAAGCUUAAGCUGGGCCCUAUAGAGGCGCCCAGGGUUGUGAGGCUCAGAGGUCAGGGGGAGCUGCUUGGCAGCCUUCCUGGAGAAGAGAGCCGGGGCAGACAUCCCAGAAAGCCUGCCAGAAGUUCUGCCCCUGGUAGAGGGAUCUGAGGUAUCUCGCUGUCUGCCCAGGAGGAAACACCCCGGGGAUGGGCGGGCUUGGCAGAGGAGCUGGGCCAGUGCACCGUGGGGCACAACCCUACCCAAACCUAAUCACAGUGGACUCGGUCCUGGGCUGGCAGCCAGCCGCCCCGGGGCAUUCAGGGGUCAUAAAAGCUGUGCAGGAGAGGCAACCCCAGCUCUCCAGCUAAGAAGCACCCUCCACGAUGCUGCAGGUGCUGCUGACCGGCUGGGUCUUCACCCUACUCAGGGUGUCGCUAAGCCAGGCCCAAGUCCCCAUCCAGGCCGACUUUGAUGCCACUCAGGUGGGCUCAGGCACCCUCAGGCCGGACACAUCCCCUCUUCCUCCUGGAUGACCACCUUGAUUUGCUACUCUAUCCAGGCCCCUGGGGCCUGCGUUAUCCCCAGAGAGGCCAGAGGGCGAGAGAUGCCCACAUGCUCCAGUCCAAGCUCAGCUCAAAUCGGGGGACAGAGGGGAGGGGGAGGGCCCCACCUAUCCACCCCAUCAGCUGCGGGUAGGCUGGGCUAGGAAGGACAGCAGGCCCCUCUGCCUGGUCUGUGGCGUGGCUCACACUGCCACCACUCUCCCAGGCCUCAGAUCCAGACAAGUCACAGCCACCUACCACCACACUGAGUCAGGGAGUCAGGGUAGAUGUGGACACAAGGCCUGUGCCCCGCCUCCCCCUGCCCCCUCCCUGUAGUUCCAGGGCACCUGGUAUGUGGUCGGGGUGGCCUCAGAUGACCAGGGCUUCCUGAGCUCCAAGGACGAGCUGAAGAUGUCCGUGGUCUCGGUGACUGCCUCAGCCAGCGGUGACCUGACCCUCAAGUUUGCGAACCCUACGCCCGACGGAAGGUGCCAGAAGAUGGACACAACAUUGACCAAGGGUGCUGUGGAUGGACAGUUCACAAACAGGGCCAUGCAGCAGGCUGACAUCCGCGUGGUGGCCACCGACUACAGACGGUUCGCUGUACUCUACUUGGAGACUGAGGCCAAGGGCACGAGGAACGUCUGGCUGCAGCUCUUAGGUGCACCCCUGCCCCCUGCUGGUCACCAGGCACAGCCUCUCCUCCGAGGGCCCUGCCCCAAGGCUGCUGUGCACAUUCCAGCAAGUUCUGAGUCUAAGUGGCGGGUGAAACCACCAUCCUGCAGUGUGUCCUUGGGCCCCCUCUCCCCUGUGUCUGUGGUAGAGGGCGCUGGACCCCUCCCACCCCGUCAUCCUCCUCCAAACCCUGCCGCCCUGCUCACCAAUGCUCCCUGCCCUCAGCCCGCACCCCAGAGCUGAUACCAGAAGGUGCCCAGAAGAUGCAGCAGCUGGCACCCCAAGUCGGCUUGAACCCCAGCCAGGGCACCUUGCUGCCCCAGUCAGACCAGUGUGCUGGUGCCUUCUCCUAGGUAAGUACUUGGAGUCCUGCUCCCCAGACCAUACAGGGCCUAGUGCCCCGCUGACCCCCAGGGGCCCCUCUUGGCCAGAAGGCUGCACAGUGGGGUUCUGAUCCUGGGAGCAGGUGACAGUGGUACCCCCGAAUGGAGCCAGGACACAGGAAGCAGGGAGGAAGAGCAAGGUGUGGCCCUGGGGCUGGCCCCACAAGGGCAAGAGGGGCAGGAACACGGCACUCACCCCCCUCUACCUGCCCUCUUGUCCACAAGGAAGGAUCCGGCCCGGGAGAGCCAGCGGUGGCAGUCUGCUCUGCCUGCUGGGCCUUCCUCAAAGAGCCACCACUUCUCUCUGCCACCCCUGCCCCUGCACAAUAAAUAAUCUAAAGCCACAGCUGUGUAUUUCUUCACCCUCCACGGUGGUUGAUGGCUCCAGGCCCAGAGUGGGACCCCUGGCUGUGUGCACCAGGGCAGACGCUUCAAUAGGGGGUGGGGGCUGGGGGGGGGGCAGGCUCUGCUCUGACAGAGGCAGCUUUCCAGACAGACGGGGGCAAUCACAGAAGCUUCCUUGCCCCACUUCCCCCGCCCCGCCCCGCAUACCAGGGCACCCGCCAGGGGGAUGUCACCCAUGUGCGGCAGCCCAGGCCUAGCCGGCUGCCCACAUUGGACCUCCUGGGCCUCUGGGGUCCUCCCAAAUCACAGCACGGGGCAGGUAUCUGGCUACUUCUGUCCCCCUUCUUCUCCCCUGACCUCUGGCCCCAAAGCGCCUGCAGUUCACUCCUCACCUGGAGCCAGAGAAAAGGAGUGUGUGCAAAAUGCUGUCCCAACAUUGAGUCUAUGUUGGGUAAUGUCACUCUUCUCUGAAGACCCUUCGUCCUGCAGAAUUUGAGGGUAAAAUGGCAUGACCUCUGUAAUGUGAAUAGUUCAGAAAAAAAUAAUGCUGGAUGGAAACAUGUAAGAUAAUUGUUUUAUCGGAGCUAUGGCUCGUUACACAUUCUGCUUUUUCAGUUGGUUAGAUGUUUUUAAUUAAAAACACAGCCCUGGGGCCCCUGGGGGACUCAGGUGAUGAAGUGUCUGCCUUCAGUCCAGGUCAUGAUCCCAGGGUCCUGGGAUUGAG